UCGAAAUGCAUUGAGGCGCAAUAGUUGAUUGUACAUCUAGGGGUAAAGCACUGUUUUGGUGCUGGCCGCGAGAGCGGUACCAAACUCUGAAUACUAGAUAUGAACGCAAAAUAACAAGGGUCGAGGUUGGUUUGUGAGACGAUGGGGGAUAAGCUUCAUCGUUGAGAGGGAAACAGCCCGGACCACCAGCUAAGGCUCCUAAAUAACCGCUUAACAAUAGAGGAGGUAAGAGUGGCAGCCACCCUUGAAAGAGUGCGUAAUAGCUCACCUUAACAACAGAGUGAUUAAUGAUUAAGAGAAUGGUUCAAAUAAUGUUUUUUUUAGUGAAUUGUAAGAGAAUGA
rnacentral:ncRNA from 1 species